UCAGGCCUAACACAUGCAAGUCGAACGGUAACAGGCCGCAAGGUGCUGACGAGUGGCGAACGGGUGAGUAAUGCAUCGGAACGUGCCCAGUCGUGGGGGAUAACGCAGCGAAAGCUGCGCUAAUACCGCAUACGAUCUAUGGAUGAAAGCGGGGGACCGUAAGGCCUCGCGCGAUUGGAGCGGCCGAUGUCAGAUUAGGUAGUUGGUGGGGUAAAGGCUCACCAAGCCGACGAUCUGUAGCUGGUCUGAGAGGACGACCAGCCACACUGGGACUGAGACACGGCCCAGACUCCUACGGGAGGCAGCAGUGGGGAAUUUUGGACAAUGGGGGCAACCCUGAUCCAGCAAAGCCGCGUGCAGGAAGAAGGCCUUCGGGUUGAAACUGAAUGGUACGGAACGAAACGGCUCUGGUUAAUAC
rnacentral:rRNA from 1 species